CCUACGGGAUGCAGCAGUGGGGCAUAUUGCACAAUGGGCGAAACCCUGAUGCAGCGACGCCGCGUGAGUGAUGAAGUAUUUCGGUAUGUAAAGCUCUAUCUGUAGGGAAGAAAAUGACGGUACCUGAUUAAGAAGCCCCGGCUAAUUACGUGCCAGCAGCCGCGGCAAUACGUAGGGGGCAAGCGUUAUCCGGAUUUACUGGGUGUUAAGGGAGCGUAGACGGCAGCACAAGUCUGGAGUGAAAUGCCGGGGCUUAACCCCGGAAUUGCAUUUGAAACUGUGCAGCUAGAGUGCAGGUGAGGGAAGUGGAAUUCCUAGUGUAGCGGGGAAAUGCGUAGAUAUUAGGAGGAACACCAGUGGCGAAGGCAGCUUACUGAACUGUAACUGACGUUGAGGCUCGAAAGCGUGGGUAGCAAACAGGAUUAGAUACCCUUGUAGUC
rnacentral:rRNA from 1 species